rnacentral:rRNA from 1 species
UGGGCGUAAGGGCUCGCAGGCGGUUUCUUAAGUCUGAUGUGAAAGCCCCCGGCUCAACCGGGGAGGGUCAUUGGAAACUGGGGAACUUGAGUGCAGAAGAGGAGAGUGGAAUUCCACGUGUAGCGGUGAAAUGCGUAGAGAUGUGGAGGAACACCAGUGGCGAAGGCGACUCUCUGGUCUGUAACUGACGCUGAGGAGCGAAAGCGUGGGGAGCGAACAGGAUUAGAUACCCUGGUAGUCCACGCCGUAAACGAUGAGUGCUAAGUGUUAGGGGGUUUCCGCCCCUUAGUGCUGCAGCUAACGCAUUAAGCACUCCGCCUGGGGAGUACGGUCGCAAGACUGAAACUCAAAGGAAUUGACGGGGGCCCGCACAAGCGGUGGAGCAUGUGGUUUAAUUCGAAGCAACGCGAAGAACCUUACCAGGUCUUGACAUCCUCUGACAAUCCUAGAGAUAGGACGUCCCCUUCGGGGGCAGAGUGACAGGUGGUGCAUGGUUGUCGUCAGCUCGUGUCGUGAGAUGUUGGGUUAAGUCCCGCAACGAGCGCAACCCUUGAUCUUAGUUGCCAGCAUUCAGUUGGGCACUCUAACGUGACUGCCGGUGACAAACCGG